CUGUUUAGCAAAAACACAGGUCUAUGCAAAACCGAAAGGUGAGGUAUAUGGGCUGACGCCUGCCCGGUGCUGGAAGGUUACGAGGAGGGGUUAGCGGCAACGCGAAGCUCUGAAUUUAAGCCCCAGUAAACGGCGGCCGUAACUAUAACGGUCCUAAGGUAGCGAAAUUCCUUGUCGGGUAAGUUCCGACCCGCACGAAAGGCGUAAUGAUUUGAGCGCUGUCUCAACAAUGCACCCGGUGAAAUUGAAAUACCAGUGAAGAUGCUGGUUACCUGCGCCAGGACGGAAAGACCCCAUGGAGCUUUACUCCAGCUUGAUACUGGGAUUCGGUACUGCAUGUACAGGAUAGGUGGGAGGCAGUGAAGAUAGGACGCCAGUCUUAUCAGAGCCGAUGUUGGGAUACCACCCUUGCGGUAUUGGAUUUCUAACCUGCAGCCAUGACCUGGCUGGGGGACAAUGUCAGGCGGGGAGUUUGACUGGGGCGGUCGCCUCCGAAAGGGUAUCGGAGGCGCUCAAAGGUUCCCUCAGAAUGGACGGAAAC
rnacentral:ncRNA from 3 species